rnacentral:miRNA from 1 species
GAUGACGAGUUUGGAGAACGCAU